rnacentral:rRNA from 1 species
UACGUAGGGUGCGAGCGUUGUCCGGAAUUACUGGGCGUAAAGAGCUCGUAGGUGGUUUGUCGCGUUGUUCGUGAAAACUCACAGCUCAACUGUGGGCGUGCGGGCGAUACGGGCAGACUGGAGUACUGCAGGGGAGACUGGAAUUCCUGGUGUAGCGGUGGAAUGCGCAGAUAUCAGGAGGAACACCGGUGGCGAAGGCGGGGUCUCUGGGCAGUAACUGACGCUGAGGAGCGAAAGCGUGGGGGAGCGAACAGG